AGAAAAUACUCCCUUCCAAACUCAUGUGUACUCCCUUUCCAUCAUCCACAAACAAAACUUUGAAAUUCUUUUUGAAAAGAAAAAGUAACGAACAUAACACUCUCCUUCCUAAAAUCCAUCGGCUACUCUCUCUCUCUCUACUGUUUCUUCCCAAACAUUGAACAAGAAUUUAAAACUCCAAACUUGAAACUCAGCACCCCUCCACAAAAUAAAUCCCGUCGGCUCUCACUCAAAAUCACAACACCAAAAGAACAGAAAAAUUUAAGCUCCGUCGCCCUGCACAAACCGAUCGGUCACCACCGCAGCUCCCUUCGUCGGCUCGCUGGUGGCACUCCGCACCCACCGUCGUCGCAGCAGCCACUGCGUCGCUGCUCCGGCAGCCCCAAACUCACCCCGAAGCGCAGCCCCGUUUUCCCAUUAAAGAUUUGGAAGAAGAACACGGUAGACUGGAGGAAAGAUCCGCGCUGGGAUCUUUUAAGAGAAGGCUUUGGGCUCAAGAAAAAGGAUCAAGGAUUAAUUAGAUAAAUUUGGCUCAUAAACCUUUGUAUUUUAUUUAAAUUGUGCAGCCCACAAUUUAUUCUUCGCAAUAUUUAAUUUGUUCUAUUUAUUUAAUUUAUCAAA